UUUAUGGAGAGUUUGAUCCUGGCUCAGAGUGAACGCUGGCGGCGUGCCUAAUACAUGCAAGUCGAACGAUGAAGCUUCUAGCUUGCUAGAAUGCUGAUUAGUGGCGCACGGGUGAGUAACGCAUAGGUUAUGUGCCUCUUAGUUUGGGAUAGCCAUUGGAAACGAUGAUUAAUACCAGAUACUCCCUACGGGGGAAAGAUUUAUCGCUAAGAGAUCAGCCUAUGUCCUAUCAGCUUGUUGGUAAGGUAAUGGCUUACCAAGGCUAUGACGGGUAUCCGGCCUGAGAGGGUGAACGGACACACUGGAACUGAGACACGGUCCAGACUCCUACGGGAGGCAGCAGUAGGGAAUAUUGCUCAAUGGGGGAAACCCUGAAGCAGCAACGCCGCGUGGAGGAUGAAGGUUUUAGGAUUGUAAACUCCUUUUGUUAGAGAAGAUAAUGACGGUAUCUAACGAAUAAGCACCGGCUAACUCCGUGCCAGCAGCCGCGGUAAUACGGAGGGUGCAAGCGUUACUCGGAAUCACUGGGCGUAAAGAGCGCGUAGGCGGGAUAGUCAGUCAGGUGUGAAAUCCUAUGGCUUAACCAUAGAACUGCAUUUGAAACUACUAUUCUAGAGUGUGGGAGAGGUAGGUGGAAUUCUUGGUGUAGGGGUAAAAUCCGUAGAGAUCAAGAGGAAUACUCAUUGCGAAGGCGACCUGCUGGAACAUUACUGACGCUGAUUGCGCGAAAGCGUGGGGAGCAAACAGGAUUAGAUACCCUGGUAGUCCACGCCCUAAACGAUGGAUGCUAGUUGUUGGAGGGCUUAGUCUCUCCAGUAAUGCAGCUAACGCAUUAAGCAUCCCGCCUGGGGAGUACGGUCGCAAGAUUAAAACUCAAAGGAAUAGACGGGGACCCGCACAAGCGGUGGAGCAUGUGGUUUAAUUCGAAGAUACACGAAGAACCUUACCUAGGCUUGACAUUGAGAGAAUCCGCUAGAAAUAGUGGAGUGUCUGGCUUGCUAGACCUUGAAAACAGGUGCUGCACGGCUGUCGUCAGCUCGUGUCGUGAGAUGUUGGGUUAAGUCCCGCAACGAGCGCAACCCCCUUUCUUAGUUGCUAACAGGUUAUGCUGAGAACUCUAAGGAUACUGCCUCCGUAAGGAGGAGGAAGGUGGGGACGACGUCAAGUCAUCAUGGCCCUUACGCCUAGGGCUACACACGUGCUACAAUGGGGCGCACAAAGAGAAGCAAUACUGCGAAGUGGAGCCAAUCUUCAAAACACCUCUCAGUUCGGAUUGUAGGCUGCAACUCGCCUGCAUGAAGCUGGAAUCGCUAGUAAUCGCAAAUCAGCCAUGUUGCGGUGAAUACGUUCCCGGGUCUUGUACUCACCGCCCGUCACACCAUGGGAGUUGUGUUUGCCUUAAGUCAGGAUGCUAAAUUGGCUACUGCCCACGGCACACACAGCGACUGGGGUGAAGUCGUAACAAGGUAACCGUAGGUGAACCUGCGGUUGGAUCACCUCCUUUCUA
rnacentral:rRNA from 1 species